AUUGAACGCUGGCGGCAUGCCUUACACAUGCAAGUCGAACGGCAGCAUGAUCUAGCUUGCUAGAUUGAUGGCGAGUGGCGAACGGGUGAGUAAUACAUCGGAACGUGCCCUGUAGUGGGGGAUAACUAGUCGAAAGAUUAGCUAAAACCGCAUACGUCCUGAGGGUGAAAGUGGGGGACCGCAAGGCCUCAUGCUAUAGGAGCGGCCGAUGUCUGAAUAGCUAGUUGGUGAGGUAAAGGCUCACCAAGGCGACGAUCAGUAGCUGGUCCGAGAGGGCGAUAAGCCACACUGGGACUGAGACACGGCCCAGACUCCUACGGGAGGCAGCAGUGGGGAAUUUUGGGCAAUGGGCGAAAGCCUGAUCCAGCAAUGCCGCGUGUGUGAAGAAGGCCUUCGGGUUGUAAAGCACUUUUGUCCGGAAAGAAAUGGCUCUGGUUAAUACCUGGGGUCGAUGACGGUACCGGAAGAAUAAGGACCGGCUAACUACGUG
rnacentral:rRNA from 1 species